rnacentral:rRNA from 1 species
UGGGGGAUAUUGCACAAUGGGCGAAAGCCUGAUGCAGCGACGCCGCGUGGGGGAUGAAGGCCUUCGGGUUGUAAACUUCUUUUGCUCUGAACAAGGCGCACCAUGGGGUGUGUUGAGUGUAGGGGUUGAUUAGCGCCGGCUAACUACGUGCCAGCAGCCGCGGUAAUACGUAGGGCGCGAGCGUUGUCCGGAAUUAUUGGGCGUAAAGGGCUUGUAGGUGGCUGGUUGCGUCUGUCGUGAAAGCUCAUGGCUUAACUGUGGGUGUGCGGUGGGUACGGGCUGGCUUGAGUGCAGUAGGGGAGGCUGGAAUUCCUGGUGUAGCGGUGGAAUACGCAGAUAUCAGGAGGAAUACCGGUGGCGAAGGCGGGUCUCUGGGCUGUUACUGACACUGAGGAGCGAAAGCAUGGGGAGCGAACAGG